UCAGACGAUGCGUCAUGCAUAUCAAUAAGCGGAGGAAAAGAAACUAACAAGGAUUCCCUUAGUAACGGCGAGUGAAGCGGGAAGAGCUCAAAUUUGAAAUCUUCAAGGUUUUACCUUGACGAAUUGUAGUUUAAAGAAGUGUUUUCUGCUGAAGUUUUGGUAAAAGUUCCUUGGAAUAGGACAUCAUAGAGGGUGAGAAUCCCGUAUUUGACCAUUAUUUUCAGCUUUGUGAUACACUUUCAAAGAGUCGGAUUGUUUGGGAAUGCAGUCCAAAAUGGGUGGUAAAUUUCAUCCUAAAGCUAAAUAUUGGCGAGGAGACCGAUAGCGAACAAGUACCGUGAGGGAAAGAUGAAAAGAACUUUGAAAAGAGAGGUUAAAUAGUACGUGAAAUUGUCAAAAGGGAAGCGUUUAACACCAGUGUUGUUUUCUGAAAAUCAACCUCUGUUAGCUUUAUGCAUGUUUGUUUAGACCUAAUCAGCUAUCUUGCAUGUUCUAUUGUUUGCAGUGGUGCACUUUUCAGUUUACAGGUCAACAUUAGUUUUUUUUACCGUAAAAAAGUUAAAGAAAGGUAGCUCAUGGCUCCGGUCGUGAGUGUUAUAGUCUUUUUCCUAUGCGGUAGGAGAGACUGAGGUCUGCAGUGUAGGCUAUUUGGCUAGAUACUCAGGUGCUAUGUGAUACCAUUUCAUAAACAACUUGUUGAUUAUGUUUUGUCUAUUGCAUACUCGCUUGUACUAUCAUACCUACGCUUAGGAUGUUGACUGAUAUGUAGUCGUA
rnacentral:rRNA from 1 species